UACGUAGGGCGCAAGCGUUAUCCGGAAUUAUUGGGCGUAAAGAGCUCGUAGGCGGUUUUGUCGCGUCUGCCGUGAAAGUCCGGGGCUCAACUCCGGAUCUGCGGUGGGUACGGGCAGACUAGAGUGCAGUAGGGGAGACUGGAAUUCCUGGUGUAGCGGUGAAAUGCGCAGAUAUCAGGAGGAACACCGAUGGCGAAGGCAGGUCUCUGGGCUGUAACUGACGUGAGGAGCGAAAGCAUGGGGGAGCGAACAGG
rnacentral:rRNA from 1 species